rnacentral:rRNA from 1 species
GGGGAAUAUUGCACAAUGGGGGAAACCCUGAUGCAGCGACGCCGCGUGAGUGAUGAAGUAUUUCGGUAUGUAAAACUCUAUCAGCAGGGAAGAUAAUGACGGUACCUGACUAAGAAGCACCGGCUAAAUACGUGCCAGCAGCCGCGGUAAUACGUAGGGAGCAAGCGUUAUCCGGAUUUAUUGGGUGUAAAGGGUGCGUAGACGGGAAAUUAAGUUAGUUGUGAAAUCCCUCGGCUUAACUGAGGAACUGCAACUAAAACUGAUUUUCUUGAGUGCUGGAGAGGAAAGUGGAAUUCCUAGUGUAGCGGUGAAAUGCGUAGAUAUUAGGAGGAACACCAGUGGCGAAGGCGACUUUCUGGACAGUAACUGACGUUGAGGCUCGAAAGUGUGGGUAGCAAACAGGAUUAGAUACCCUGGUAGUCCACGCUGUAAACGAUGGAUACUAGGUGUGGGGGGUCUGACCCCCUCCGUGCCGCAGUUAACACAAUAAGUAUCCCACCUGGGGAGUACGAUCGCAAGGUUGAAACUCAAAGGAAUUGACGGGGGCCCGCACAAGCGGUGGAGUAUGUGGUUUAAUUCGAAGCAACGCGAAGAACCUUACCAGGUCUUGACAUCCUGCUGACCGGUCCUUAACCGGACCUUUUCUUCGGAACAGCAGUGACAGGUGGUGCAUGGUUGUCGUCAGCUCGUGUCGUGAGAUGUUGGGUUAAGUCCCGCAACGAGCGCAACCCCUAUCUUCAGUAGCCAGCGGUUCGGCCGGGCACUCUGGAGAGACUGCCGGGGACAACCCGGAGGAAGGUGGGGAUGACGUCAAAUCAUCAUGCCCCUUAUGAUCUGGGCUACACACGUGCUACAAUGGUAGGAACAAAGUGAAGCGAAGUCGUGAGGCCAAGCAAAUCACAAAAAUAACGUCUCAGUUCGGAUUGUAGUCUGCAACUCGACUACAUGAAGCUGGAAUCGCUAGUAAUCGCAGAUCAGAAUGCUGCGGUGAAUACGUUCCCG